UCACAAAGUGUGAAAAUAUUGCAGCUUGUCGAGGGUCAUGGACUUUGGGAAGUCAUCCAGCUCAAAAAGAACUACUCAACUAUAUACUGGACAUUGAGAGACCAGGAAAUGAACUGAUUGUUCGAACCGCCAACACAGUCUUAACCCGUGCUGACUUUUGGACAUUGGGCUUGAACAGAGACAUGGAGUCCACUGUAAGAUCAUGGCUGUUUUACAUUGCUUUAUAUGUUGGUACAGUGUACAUAUUAUAAAAAAAUUACAAUACUUGAGUAUUUACAGUACAUGUUUUGAAUUCUGCCUUGUAUACACAAUAUCCUGCAGGGCAAGAACAUUUACAUAGUUGACCUUUAUGUUGUACCAACAUGGCUGCCACCAAACAACUGUGAUCCAUUUUUGAGUCUGCCUGAUGAUGCUCACUUAAAAGACACACUUGUGAUUCCAGUUUGGACACCAGGAC